ACACAUUCUCCCAGACUGGAACAUACUGUCGUGUGUUGAACCUUCGGUGUGCUCUGAAUUUCGCUCACAUUGUCAAAUAACGGCCUGCUAAACCUUCAGCUUAAGAGUGAUGUCCUUGAGACAGUGGUGUUAUUGAACCGUUCUGAGGUGCUGCUUUAGAGAUCGGAUCUGUGAUCAACGACUGGAUUCAGGUGACUGGUGCUGAGGGGUUUGAGCUCAAGCAGGGGACGCAACCUGUCGGUGCAGGGUGGUGCCCUCACCUGGAAAGACUUCUCUGAGUUUGUGUCUCUACCGCAAGUGAUCAAGAUCCUUUGGUGUCAAUCUUCAGGGCAGCUUCCAAGACUUACUGUGUCCAGUCAGG